rnacentral:rRNA from 1 species
GCCAGACUCCUACGGGAGGCAGCAGUGGGGGAUAUUGCACAAUGGGGGAAACCCUGAUGCAGCAACGCCGCGUGAGUGAAGAAGUAUUUCGGUAUGUAAAGCUCUAUCAGCAGGGAAGAGAAUGACGGUACCUGACUAAGAAGCCCCGGCUAACUACGUGCCAGCAGCCGCGGUAAUACGUAGGGGGCGAGCGUUAUCCGGAUUUACUGGGUGUAAAGGGAGCGUAGACGGCUGGUCAAGUCUGAAGUGAAAGCCCGGGGCUUAACCCCGGAACGGCUUUGGAAACUGAGCAGCUAGAGUGCUGGAGAGGUAAGCGGAAUUCCUAGUGUAGCGGUGAAAUGCGUAGAUAUUAGGAGGAACACCAGUGGCGAAGGCGGCUUACUGGACAGUAACUGACGUUGAGGCUCGAAAGCGUGGGGAGCAAACAGGAUUAGAUACCCUAGUAUA